ensembl:lncRNA
CAUCAAUCUAAGGCAGCACGAGGAAUAUUUGAGAUGAAUUACUGAAGGGAAGGGGCUGCCAACCCAAUGCUGUCUGGGGUAACACCACUGUCCAGUGCAGGAGCCCUCUGGGGUGAAGAGCCGCUUUAAAGCAUCGCCGUCUCUGGAACCUGGAAAGGAAACUCUCUCAUUAUCCACUGAUAUUUAUGGCCAUCAUUUGGUGCUCUGCUCAAGGCAGACGUCUGAGAGGAGGAAGGAAGAGACAGACGCUCAGCACGGAUAAAUGCGUGCUUCCCAAAGGUGCUGUCAAGCCUGCUGAGCUCAAAGCCAGCCUGCAGCCUGGGGGUGCACCCCAGGGCUCAUACCUGCACCCCCGCCCCUCACUGACAGCAUCUGCUGGGGACACCCAUCCCUCCUUCUGCUGAGGCUAAGGGAAAGUGUUCAGGUGGCUGUGGCACAUCUGAUGGAUCCAGAGACAGCCUCGUUAAAGCAUUGAUUUGCCCAUUGGUGCGAGAUGGGGGAAGAGUAGCAAGAAGCAUCCGAAUAUAACAAGAAGAUCAUGGGAUCACUGUGUGUUUGACCGGCACUGAGCAUGCACUGCUGUCCCAAAGCUUCUCUGAAGGUCUCAGCUACAAAGCACAGGGUCAUGCAAGGACAACGUCUUCUUAUGACCUCUGGCAAAGUAGCUGAUGUCCGUGCCCUUGAUUUGACUCACAUGCAGCUGGGGGAUGAUUGUGCCUGUCUCCCAAGACAGGUGGCUGCUUUAUUAAUGAACGGUUGCAAAAUGUUCUGAGAUCCUCUGAUGAGGCAUCUCUGGAAAGAGCAAAACACGACAGUGCCAAUGGAAAUUGGCUGUUUGGCUCCAAUCGCAUGCAGAAAGAGAGCCACGCAUCAGAGCUGAGCGCGUGGAACAGGAAACAUGAGGCAGGGGGAGAAACCAGGCACGGUACCGGACGUCAGUGAACAAAUGCUGGAGCUGUUGUUUGUUGCCAAAAGAAGGCACGUCGGGUUUGUCAGUGAAAGCAGAAGGCUUCAUUCGGUUGCGUUGGGAGAGCUCCAAGCCCACCAGGUUGGCUCAGAUUCAGCGGGUGGUUAUUCAGUGCUGGUUGGACUAUGGCUUACAUAGCCCUGCACCUGGCGAGGGGUUGACGCUCACCUCACUCUGUCACAGAGGUCUUUCCCCUUGGUUGAACCUGGUUGAACCUUGUCCUUGUGUCCUCAGCUUCCACGAAACAAUUAGAAUCAUAGAAUCAUAGAAUGGUUUGAGCUAUAAGGGGCCAUUAAAGGCCAUUUGGUCCAAUCCCAGCAAUGAGCAGGGACACCAACAGCUCCAUCAGUGCUCACAGCCCCUCCAGCCUGAGCUUGAUAUCUCCAGGGUUGGGGCACCACCGCCUCCCCGGGCAACCCAUUCCAGUGCCUUACCACUCUUAUUGAAAAAGCUUUGUUCUUAUAUCCAAUCUCAAUCUCCUCUCUGUUAGUUUGAAACCAUUUCCCCCUGUCCUAUCACCCUGCUAAAGAGUCUGUCCCCUUUCUUACAGCCCCUUCAGACACUGACAGGCCGCUAUAGGUCUCCCUGCAGCCUUCCCUUCUCCAGCUGCACAGCCCAGCUCUCAGCCUGGCCUCGCAGGGAGGUGUUCCAUCCCUGGGCCCUUCUCUGGAUGCUCUCCAACAGGUGCACAUCUGUCCUGUACUGAGGACUCCCCAUCUGGAUGCAGUGCUGCAGGCAUGUCGACCACACCACACAGCUUGGUGUCAUCCACAAACUGCUGAGGGUGUUCUCAAUCCCACUGUCAGUGUCACUGAUGAAGAUAUUUAAGAGCUCUGGUCCCAGUACUGACCCUGGAGGGACGCCAUUCAUCUUCUCAGAAUGCUCUGUGUGUGUUCCUGCCUUUCUGUGGUCAUCCACACGGAUUAUCGAGAGGAGUGACAGACAUCUGCUGCCUGGAAAGCUGUGCCUGAAUAAUAACAUCCUCUGGAGUGCCAUUAUUCGAGUUGGGAAUGUUUGCGGAUGGAGCGUAUCUCUCUAGGAAAAUGCCCAUUCAUCAAAGCAGAAAUUUUCCUCCAGGGAAGUGCUGUUUUUGACAAACUUCAGCAUCGGAUAAAAAGACUGAACAACAGUAUUUCAAUGAGUUCAGAGGACUCCACUUCAGAGGCACUGGAAUUUCCUUUUGUGAUGAAGUACAGAACUGCAGUAAGACCCAAACAACCAGAUUAUAUCAGAAUGGAGUAUUUUUGUUUACCCUGACGUGAAUGGUUAAAAUAGUUUUGAAAUACACAUUUUGUUGGAUUUUUUUCCUGUGAUUUUUUUUGUUUUCUUUUCAAUUCAGACCAAGAGAAACCUGUGCUGAUGGAAUAGGAAAUCUGACUUCAAAGCAAUUCCGAGUCAGAUGGCAGAAGAAGUGCCCCAGGCACACAACUGCUGUUAACAGAGGUUGGUGGUGGGAGCAGAGAGGUGUCCAGGGCACAGCAGUGGAGUUCACUGAUGUGUUUCAGUGUUUGGUGCGUUAUCUAAAUGGAACUGGGAGGAAUAAACCCCUCACUCUCUUUAUGAGGGGAAAUCCGUGCUAUGCAAGCAAUAAAGAUAGCCAUGAAAGAUUGCAGGCUCUUGUUUUCCCA